CAGUAAGCGUCUGACACGCAUUUCAAACAUUCUCAAGAAAUGAGUGUCUUUUUAGGGAGGCUAUCUGUGGAUCACCCCACCAGACCCAGGACACGAAGCAGGUUCAGACCCAAUUAGAAAAGUCACAUGGUCAAUAUCUCUGCACGCCAGAUUCCUAAUAAGGGUUUAUCCUUUGUCCCAGUUCUUAACUUUGACAAAUUUUGGUGGAAGAAGGAUAUUCACCUGUUUGUAAGAAUACUAGGUCUGCUUAAAUAAUAUUGCAUGAGAGACAAGACAGCCAGUGCACUAGGGAUGGACACUAAUGAUUUCACACACUGUUAGAUCUUUUAGAGAGCAAUGAGAUAUCAGAUUCCUUCCAAUGCCCUUUCACCAGUGUGAAAAAAAAGCG